rnacentral:tRNA from 1 species
ACCGUGAUGGCUCAGUUGGAAGAGCGUCUGCCCCGUAUGCGGAGAGUUGCCGGUUCGGUUUCGGCUCGCGCUG